rnacentral:rRNA from 1 species
GUGUCAGCAGCCGCGGUAAUACAGAGGGCGCGAGCGUUGUCCGGAAUCACUGGGCGUAAAGGGCGCGUAGGUGGCCACGAUAAGGCCGCGGUGAAAGCUUGGGGCUCAACCCCAGGUCGGCCGCGGCGACUGUCGGGCUGGGGCACUGUAGAGGCAGAUGGAAUUCCGGGUGUAGCGGUGGAAUGCGUAGAGAUCCGGAAGAACACCAGUGGCGAAGGCGGUCUGCUGGGCAGUGGGAGCUUCGGCUCUCUUUAGCCGACACUGAGGCGCGACAGCGUGGGGAGCAAACAGGAUUAGAUACCCUGGUAGUCCACGCCGUAAACGAUGGGCACUAGGUGCUCCGGGGAGCGACCCUUGGAGUACCGGCGCUAACGCAUGAAGUGCCCCGCCUGGGGAGUACGGCCGCAAGGCUGAA